rnacentral:rRNA from 1 species
GGGAAACUGCCCGAUGGAGGGGGAUAACUACUGGAAACGGUAGCUAAUACCGCAUAACGUCGCAAGACCAAAGUGGGGGACCUUCGGGCCUCACACCAUCGGAUGUGCCCAGAUGGGAUUAGCUGGUAGGUGGGGUAAUGGCUCACCUAGGCGACGAUCCCUAGCUGGUCUGAGAGGAUGACCAGCCACACUGGAACUGAGACACGGUCCAGACUCCUACGGGAGGCAGCAGUGGGGAAUACUGCACAAUGGGCGCAAGCCUGAUGCAGCCAUGCCGCGUGUAUGAAGAAGGCCUUCGGGUUGUAAAGUACUUUCAGCGGGGAGGAAGGCGGUGAAGUUAAUAGCUUCACCGACUGACGUUACCCGCAGAAGAAGCACCGGCUAACUCCGUGCCAGCAGCCGCGGUAAUACGGAGGGUGCAAGCGUUAAUCGGAAUUACUGGGCGUAAAGCGCACGCAGGCGGUCUGUCAAGUCGGAUGUGAAAUCCCCGGGCUUAACCUGGGAACUGCAUUCGAAACUGGCAGGCUAGAGUCUUGUAGAGGGGGGUAGAAUUCCAGGU